AUUGAACGCUGGCGGCAGGCCUAACACAUGCAAGUCGAGCGGAUGAAGGGAGCUUGCUCCUGGAUUCAGCGGCGGACGGGUGAGUAAUGCCUAGGAAUCUGCCUGGCAGUGGGGGAUAACGUCCGGAAACGGGCGCUAAUACCGCAUACGUCCUGAGGGAGAAAGAGGGGGAUCUUCGGACCUCACGCUAUCAGAUGAGCCUAGGUCGGAUUAGCUAGUUGGUGGGGUAAAGGCCUACUAAGGGGAGGAUCCGUUACUGGUCUGAGAGGAUGAUCAGUCACACUGGAACGGAGACACGGUCCAGACUCCUACGGGAGGCAGCAGUGGGGAAUAUUGGACAAUGGGCGAAAGCCUGAUCCAGCCACGCCGCGUGUGUGAAGAAGGUCUUCGGAUUGUAAAGCACUUUAAGUUGGGAGGAAGGGCAGUAAGUUAAUACCUUGCUGGUUUGACGUUACCAGCAGAAGAAGCACCGGCUAACUUCGUG
rnacentral:rRNA from 1 species